UCAUGGUGCAAUAUAUACCGGUGGAUAUGCCGUGUAUGUAUAUAUUUCGCAAUUGAACUCUCUAUCAGAAUGGAAACUGAACAGUCAGCUUUGUUGUGUUACGCAGACGGUGUGAUGGGGGUAUGUCGCACUGUAUGCCCGACGGGAUGCGUCCGUGCAAGGGAGUCUCGAACAACCAGUUCCACCACAAUUAUAUAUUAUCGCGCGACGGAAUGCGUGGGUAAACGAGUAUGGACAGGGAUAUAUGUUCUUCGAAUCUGACUAGAAGGUCGGGAUGCUGACGGUUCUAGUAGCAGAGCUAGUGAUGUCGUCUCCGGUGGUGGUAGGCAGCGGCGCGGGGGAUGACUGUUCCUGGACGGGAUGGCACGCACGAUUGUUUCUAUUUUAUUGUUCGAUGCCUAGGAUCAAGAUAUCUAGGUAGGUAUGCCGACGUGCCGAAGUAGAAGCCGAAGUAAGAUGAACGGACGAGGAAUCGUGUGGGUGGACGAGGGCGUGAGAUAUAGCAAUGCGACCACACGGGCACAAGGCUUGGACCCGAUGUGACGUUGUGUGAGAAGGACGAUGACGAUUGAUGUUUCUGGGUCUCCAGGUCCAGAGUUUGAGGUCUCCAAUGAUAUUCGCCAAUUACUAUACAGCGGCCACCAAUGAUAAUGUCUGGUUGUCGAGUUGGCUGAGCAGCCUGAGUUGUUGGGGACAGACAACUUGGGAAGUUGGGAGAGGAGACCGUAGGUAGAGGAUGUGUGACGAUCCGGAUAUAGAUUCAGCUGUAUGGCUACAGAGCCACCUUGCGCUUUGGAUACUAUGUAUGACUUUUGUAGAUUUGUAUCUUCUCCUCGUCAAUUGCGUGUAAUUUUUUUCUUUCCACAGAAAUCGUGUAUAAGGAAGUCGUAUACAGAGUACUCCGUUCUGGCUACGUAGGAGUAUGAUACUAUCGUACAGGUACCUACCGGAGCACAAGCACAACUCCGCAUUCCGUACCACGGUAGCCCGCCGCCCCAUCAAUACUCAGCAAAGCUUCCACAACGGCCAAUGCUAUUUCAUCUCCUCUCGAAACUGAUGGAGUGAGUAAAUUAGUUUUUUAUUGUGUGAGUCACCUCACUGGUCUCAGUCCCCAGCACAGACA
rnacentral:lncRNA from 1 species